rnacentral:rRNA from 1 species
UACGGAGGGUGCAAGCGUUAUCCGGAUUCACUGGGUUUAAAGGGUGCGUAGGAGGGCAGGUAAGUCAGUGGUGAAAUCUUCGAGCUUAACUCGGAAACUGCCGUUGAUACUAUCUGUCUUGAAUCCCGUGGAGAUGAGCGGAAUAUGUCAUGUAGCGGUGAAAUGCUUAGAUAUGACAUAGAACACCAAUUGCGAAGGCAGCUCGUUACACGAAGAUUGACUCUGAGGCACGAAAGCGUGGGGGAUCAAACAGG